rnacentral:rRNA from 1 species
CACGUAGGGCGCAAGCGUUGUCCGGAAUUAUUGGGCGUAAAGGAGCUCGUAGGCGGUCUGUUGCGUCCGCUGUGAAAACUCGGGGCUUAACCCCGAGCCUGCAGUGGAUACGGGCAGACUAGAGGUAGGUAGGGAGAAUGGAAUUCCGGUGUAGCGGUGAAAUGCGCAGAUAUCGGAGGAACACCGGUGGCGAAGGCGGUUCUCUGG